GUCUCUUUUCAAGUCCUGUUUGUCUGGAGUGGAUCCAGGCGCAGCGUCUGGGCGAGCUGCCCAAUCAGCGCUGACCUCCUUUGUUUACCACGUGUGACCAGGGGGACCUGUGAGGUCCGGAGGCGACUCCGAGGAGGAGCACACGAAGUCCUGUGCUUCCCUGCCUCUGUGACCCCAGCAGAGCUCCGCACCCUGGAAGAGGCCGCCCUUCCAUCUUGGCAGAGUUGCUCCCUUCGGAAGGGCAGAGAUGCCUCCCCCGUCUGCCCAAGAUCGCCGUCCUCCUCCUUAAACCCCGACUGAUGGAAAACAGAAACCACUACAGGAACGGGAGGAGGAGGCAUCUGAAACACCCCCAAACCUUGGAUGCUGCUUAGGACUUCAGAAUUCAAAAGGCAGAAGCCAAGGUGCCUGCCUCCCACCCUGCCUGCUGGCCCAGAGCCCUCCCCUGGAGGGCCACACAUCCUGUGGCCAGACAGCCCCGCAGAAGGCCGAGGGGACUGUGGGGGCCGUCCAUCAGGUCUGUCCUCCCUUGACCCUUCCCCUUGUGGCCUGGUCAGCCCCACAGGGUGAGAAACACUGUGCGGUCAGGGCAGGCCCCUCCUUCCUUCGCAGGAGGCCCCAUCCGUGGGCUGGACCAGGGAGGGCCCCCGCCUGUAGGGGCAGGUCCGUGUGGGUGACACAGAGAUGCAUCUCAAUGUUAUCUUACUUUUUUAGAUGGCCAGCUGCCCUUGGCCUCCUCCUAUGUUACUUCCCUGGACUGCAAGGGAGCGAGGGAACAACAACAAAACUGGAAGGAAUGACAGUUAAAAUACUCUAUGAGAAACUGGUGUAGACAGAAGUCUUUUUCUUACGACCCACCGGCAUCCACCGGGAGAGCUGGCUGGAAAUCAAACGUCUCUGCUCUUAAGCCCCGUCCUGCCUUGGAAUCGUGAAGAUAAAGCCAACAGCAACAACAAAAUGAGAUAAAGAGACACCCCCCGCGGGGCUCCCCUGGCCCCAUGGGGGUCCGUCUGACUUUGGCACCCAGUUGACAGACCCUUUCGGGCCCAGUGGAGUGGCCCCCUGGGACAGGGCCCUGCAUAGUCACACCAGGGAUACUGGCUGUUUCCCUGGCUUGGGGGUUAUAACAAAGCACCACAGGCUGGGGGAGGCUUAGACAACAAGGCACAUACUUCUCACCGUUCUGGAAGCCAGAAGUCCAAGAUCAAGGUGCCCAUGGGUUCCGUUCUCUGAGAGGACUCUCUUCCUGGCUUGUCAACGGGCCACCUUCCCCCUGGGUCCCCACAUGAGGGAGACAGAAGGCUGUCUUUUCCCCUUCUUGUGAGGACACCGAUCCCAUCAUGGGGGCCCCCACCCCCGUGACCUCAUCUCAACCUACGUGCCUCCCAGAGUCCCAACUGCCCAAAUGCCAUCCCACUGGGGACUAGGGCUUCAAUGUACAGAUGUCAGGGGGACACAAAUGUUGGGUCCACGGCCCCGGUUCCUGCUGGGCUUUGCUUUUUCUCAACACAUCACUGCAUGGGCUGCAGUGGUCCCAGCAGUGAGGAUGGACCCAACUGGCCACUCCCCACCGAGGCUCCCAGGGUGCAGUUCACAGUAGGUCCUGGAGCCCCAUGUCCCGGCAGUCGUGGCGUCAUGGACGCAAACCUGGGGGCCCCUGUUCCCCAAGAAUCUGUGUCCAUGGCUUAGCAGGUUUCCUCUUAAUCCUUCAAAGAUAAAGGGCCCGCCUCCACCCCUCUCCCCACAGUCCCACGCAGGUGCUGCCACCUGCCAAUGCGGGGACACUGGUGGGCGUGGGAACAGGAACCUUCAGUAGCUCUGGGGGGCUUUCU
rnacentral:lncRNA from 1 species